ACCGUGAGGGAAAGGGGAAAAGAACCCCGGGAGGGGAGUGAAAUAGAACCUGAAACCUUAUGCCUACAAGCAGAUAGAGUCUUAAGAGAGAUGAUAUCGUACUUUUUGUAGAACGGGCCAGCGAGUUAUGGUGUGCGGCAAGGUUAAGUAAUGAAGUUACGGAGCCGUAGGGAAACCGAGUCUGAAUAGGGCGGAUAAGUCGUAUGCCAUAGACCCGAAACCAGGUGAUCUAUCCAUGAGCAGGUUGAAGUGAAAGUAAAAUUUCAUGGAGGACCGAACCGGGUAGCGUUUAAAAGCUAUCGGAUGACUUGUGGAUAGGGGUGAAAAGCCAAUCGAACUUGGAGAUAGCUGGUUCUCCUCGAAAUAGCUUUAGGGCUAGCCUCAAUUUAGUUUACAGGGGGUAGAGCACUGAAUACCGUAGGGGUGUUAGACAUUACCGAAAGUUAUCAAACUGCGAAUACCUGAUAAAUGAUGAUUGGGAGUCAGACUAUGUGGGAUAAGCUUCAUAGUCAAAAGGGAAAGAGCCCAGACCACCAGCUAAGGUCCCUAAAUAUAGAUUAAGUGGUAAAGGAUGUUUUACUACUUAGACAACCAGGAUGUUGGCUUAGAAGCAGCCAUACAUUUAAAGAGUGCGUAAUAGCUCACUGGUCAAGUGGUAGAGCGCCGAAAAUGAACGGGGCUAAAAUCUAAUACCGAAGCUGUGGACUAAUUUAAUUAGUGGUAGAGGAGCAUUGUGUAAGGGGCGAAGCUAAGUUGGAAGACGAAGUGGACUUUACAGAAGAGAGAAUGCUGGCAUGAGUAGCGAAAAGGAGGGUGAGAAUCCCUCCCGUCGAAAGCCUAAGGAUUCCUGAGG
rnacentral:rRNA from 1 species